ensembl:lncRNA
UAAAGUUCUCUAUUUCACGUACCUGUAGUAACAUGGUUUGUCUUCCUUCGUCGUAGUUUCGGAUCUGCCUGGUCUCACCUGGAUUCUUCGCCGUCUUCUUCACUCGGGAUUAAUCCAUCACAGCCGUUCCUUGGCGUCUUCUCCAUACCUACCUGCCGUCUCAAGUUCUCCCUGGUUUUCGUCCACAUGAGAUGUGAGCUUUUGCGGGUUUAAUCAGUGACCAAUGAAGGACUUGAACCCUUACUGUUCAGGACAAAUUUGACCCGACAUUUGACAGCAGCAAAAAUACCCUAAAUGUCAUUCUUUCAGCCUGAAAUCUGACAAACCUCCACUCUGAAAUCUGAACCUGCAGAAGUGCUGUGCUCCACCAGGCACUCGCCACUCUUCUUUGCUCCUCUGAGAAGUUCACUUUUUCCAGACUGGUUUCACUCAUCCUCCCUCAGAGGGGAUUUCAACAGAGACACGUCUCCUGCCGCUGUGCACG